GAUGAACGCUGGCGGCGUGCCUAAUACAUGCAAGUCGAGCGAACAGACGAGGAGCUUGCUCCUCUGACGUUAGCGGCGGACGGGUGAGUAACACGUGGAUAACCUACCUAUAAGACUGGGAUAACUUCGGGGAACCGGAGCUAAUACCGGAUAACAUGUUGAACCGCAUGGUUCAACAGUGAAAGACGGUUUUGCUGUCACUUAUAGAUGGAUCCGCGUCGCAUUAGCUAGUUGGUAAGGUAACGGCUUACCAAGGCAACGAUGCGUAGCCGACCUGAGAGGGUGAUCGGCCACACUGGAACUGAGACACGGUCCAGACUCCUACGGGAGGCAGCAGUAGGGAAUCUUCCGCAAAGGGCGAAAGCCUGACGGAGCAACGCCGCGUGAGUGAAGAAGGUCUUCGGAUCGUAAAACUCUGUUAUUAGGGAAGAACAAAUGUGUAAGUAACUAUGCACGUCUUGACGGUACCUAAUCAGAAAGCCACGGCUAACUACGUG
rnacentral:rRNA from 1 species